UACGUAGGGGGCAAGCGUUGUUCGGAAUUACUGGGCGUAAAGGGCGCGUAGGCGGCACGGCAAGUCGGGAGUGAAAGCCCGGGGCUCAACCCCGGAACUGCUCACGAAACUGCCGAGCUAGAGUGCGGAAGAGGCAAUCGGAAUUCCCAGUGUAGCGGUGAAAUGCGUAGAUAUUGGGAAGAACACCGGAGGCGAAGGCGGAUUGCUGGGCUGACACUGACGCUGAGGCGCGAAAGCCAGGGGAGCGAACGGG
rnacentral:rRNA from 1 species